GACGAACGCUGGCGACGUGCUUAACACAUGCAAGUCGAACGGUGAAGCGCCUUCCUUUUUGGUGGGUGUGGAUGAGUGGCGAACGGGUGAGUAACACGUGAGUAACCUGCCCCCUUCUUCUGGAUAACCGCAUGAAAGUGUGGCUAAUACGGGAUAUUCUGGGUCUGUCGCAUGAUGGGUCUGGGAAAGAUAUUGUUUCGGUGGGGGAUGGGCUCGCGGCCUAUCAGCUUGUUGGUGGGGUGAUGGCCUACCAAGGCGGUGACGGGUAGCCGGCCUGAGAGGGUGGACGGUCACACUGGGACUGAGACACGGCCCAGACUCCUACGGGAGGCAGCAGUGGGGAAUAUUGCACAAUGGGCGCAAGCCUGAUGCAGCGACGCCGCGUGAGGGAUGGAGGCCUUCGGGUUGUGAACCUCUUUCGCCAGUGAAGCAGGCCUGCCUCGUUUGUGGGUGGGUUGACGGUAGCUGGAGAAGAAGCGCCGGCUAACUACGUG
rnacentral:rRNA from 1 species